ACGGAAGGCAGCAGUGGGGAAUAUUGGGCAAUGGGGGCAACCCUGACCCAGCAACGCCGCGUGAAGGAAGAAGGCUUUCGGUUUGUAAACUUCUUUGACGAGGGACGAUUAUGACGGUACCUCGAAAACAAGCCACUGCUAACUACGUGCCAGCAGCCGCGGUAAUACGUAGGUGGCAAGCGUUGUCCGGAUUUACUGGGUGUGAAGGGCGCGUAGGCGGGAUAGCAAGUCAGGAGUGAAAUCUAUGGGCUUAACCCAGAAACUGCUUUUGAAACUGUUAUUCUUGAGUAUCGGAGAGGCAGGCGGAAUUCCUAGUGUAGCGGUGAAAUGCGUAGAUAUUAGGAGGAACACCAGUGGCGAAGGCGGCUUACUGGACGGUAACUGACGUUGAGGCUCGAAAGCGUGGGGAGCAAACAGGAUUAGAUACCCUGGUA
rnacentral:rRNA from 1 species